rnacentral:lncRNA from 1 species
UUUCAGGAUUAGUUUAGAUUUGAAAAUCAACUUUCCACAUUGGCAUUUGGACUAGCAAUUUUAAGAAUCUUAGUGAAUGUGUAUUCUUUGAAACCAUUACCCUGAAGUAUCCUUAACCCAGUUAUAUGCUAGGUUAUGUGCUGAUCUUUAAAAUCAUUAUUUUGUAGGUGAACUUUGCUGUGGUGUUGGGGCAGAAUAUUCAUGCAGUUAUUUAAACCACAGGCCUACCAAGAGCUACCGUUUGGUCAUUUACUCAGAUUCAGUUUGGGUGACAUAGUUAUUGCCUUUGACUAAGACUCAAGGGAUUUUUUUUAGGUGAACUGGUAGCAGCUUAUCUAAAUAGUGAAGGUGGUUUUAACAGUUCUGAUGUUCUAUGUAGAGUUUGAACCUAAAAACCUUAUAAGUUAAAAUGUCUUUUUUAUUGAAAUUAUACUAGAGCAUUGACAAAUGCAACUGGAUUUAUCAAAUUUGAGCAAUUCAAUUAGUUAGGAUACAGGAAAAAGAAACACUUGUGCCAUUCAAAAUAUUUAGCAAAAUGUUGUACAACCUCUUUCAACCAAAGC